rnacentral:tRNA from 1 species
GCGCCCGUAGCUCAACUGGAUAGAGCAUUGGACUUCUAUUCCGACGGUUGAAGGUUCGAGUCCUUCCGGGCGCGCCA